rnacentral:rRNA from 1 species
AUUGAACGCUGGCGGCAGGCUUAACACAUGCAAGUCGAGCGGGGAAGGGUAGCUUGCUACCUAACCUAGCGGCGGACGGGUGAGUAAUGCUUAGGAAUCUGCCUAUUAGUGGGGGACAACAUUCCGAAAGGAAUGCUAAUACCGCAUACGCCCUACGGGGGAAAGCAGGGGAUCUUCGGACCUUGCGCUAAUAGAUGAGCCUAAGUCAGAUUAGCUAGUUGGUGGGGUAAAGGCCUACCAAGGCGAGGAUCUGUAGCGGGUCGGAGAGGAUGAUCCGCCACACUGGGACUGGGACCCGGCCCAGACUCCUACGGGAGGCAGCAGUGGGGAAUAUUGGACAAUGGGCGGAAGCCUGAUCCAGCCAUGCCGCGUGUGUGAAGAAGGCCUUAUGGUUGUAAAGCACUUUAAGCGAGGAGGAGGCUCUUUUGGUUAAUACCCAAGAUGAGUGGACGUUACUCGCAGAAUAAGCACCGGCUAACUCUGUGCCAGCCGCCGCCGUAACAC